AGGGUUUGAUUAUGGCUCAGGAUGAACGCUAGCUACAGGCUUAACACAUGCAAGUCGAGGGGCAGCGGGGUUGAAGCUUGCUUCAACCGCCGGCGACCGGCGCACGGGUGAGUAACACGUAUCCAACCUGCCGAUAACUCCGGGAUAGCCUUUCGAAAGAAAGAUUAAUACCGGAUGGCAUAGUUUUCCCGCAUGGAAUAACUAUUAAAGAAUUUCGGUUAUCGAUGGGGAUGCGUUCCAUUAGGCAGUUGGCGGGGUAACGGCCCACCAAACCGACGAUGGAUAGGGGUUCUGAGAGGAAGGUCCCCCACAUUGGAACUGAGACACGGUCCAA
rnacentral:rRNA from 1 species